AUUGAACGCUGGCGGCAUGCUUUACACAUGCAAGUCGAACGGUAACAGGUCUUCGGAUGCUGACGAGUGGCGAACGGGUGAGUAAUGCAUCGGAACGUGCCCAGUCGUGGGGGAUAACGCAGCGAAAGCUGCGCUAAUACCGCAUACGAUCUAUGGAUGAAAGCGGGGGACCGUAAGGCCUCGCGCGAUUGGAGCGGCCGAUGUCAGAUUAGGUAGUUGGUGGGGUAAAGGCCCACCAAGCCAACGAUCUGUAGCUGGUCUGAGAGGACGACGAACCACACUGUGACUGAGACACGGCCCAGACUCCUACGGGAGGCAGGAGUGGGGAAUUUUGGACAAUGGGCGCAAGCCUGAUCCAGCAAUGCCGCGUGCAGGAAGAAGGCCUUCGGGUUGUAAACUGCUUUUGUACGGAACGAAACGGCUCUCUCUAAUACAGAGGGCUAAUGACGGUACCGUAAGAAUAAGCACCGGCUAACUACGUGCCAGCCGCCGCCGUAACAC
rnacentral:rRNA from 1 species